AGAGUUUGAUCAUGGCUCAGGAUGAACGCUGGCGGCGUGCUUAACACAUGCAAGUCGAACGGUGAAGGUGGAGCUUGCUCUGCUGGAUCAGUGGCGAACGGGUGAGUAACACGUGAGCAAUCUGCCCCUGACUCUGGGAUAAGCGCUGGAAACGGCGUCUAAUACUGGAUACGAACCACGGAGGCAUCUUCGGUGGUUGGAAAGAUUUUUCGGUCUGGGAUGAGCUCGCGGCCUAUCAGCUUGUUGGUGAGGUAAUGGCUCACCAAGGCGUCGACGGGUAGCCGGCCUGAGAGGGUGACCGGCCACACUGGGACUGAGACACGGCCCAGACUCCUACGGGAGGCAGCAGUGGGGAAUAUUGCACAAUGGGCGCAAGCCUGAUGCAGCAACGCCGCGUGAGGGAUGACGGCCUUCGGGUUGUAAACCUCUUUUAGCAGGGAAGAAGCGAAAGUGACGGUACCUGCAGAAAAAGCGCCGGCUAACUACGUGUCAGCAGCCGCGGUAAUUC
rnacentral:rRNA from 1 species